GCACGAGUUUGGUUUUAUGGCAGGCCUGUCCCCGUGGGCCUCUCAUAGUGCCCCAUGAAAGAGCAAACUGUGGCCCCAAACCAUUUCCUGGCCUGUGCCCAUAGGCUGCUGGCACUGAAGCGGGUUGCACAGUG
rnacentral:snoRNA from 1 species